AGGACGAACGCUGGCGGCGUGCUUAACACAUGCAAGUCGAGCGGUAAGGCCUUUCGGGGUACACGAGCGGCGAACGGGUGAGUAACACGUGGGUGAUCUGCCCUGCACUUCGGGAUAAGCCUGGGAAACUGGGUCUAAUACCGGAUAUGACCUCAGGUUGCAUGACUUGGGGUGGAAAGAUUUAUCGGUGCAGGAUGGGCCCGCGGCCUAUCAGUCUUGGUUGGGUGGGUAAUGGCCUACCGAAGGCGACGGACGGGUA
rnacentral:rRNA from 1 species